rnacentral:rRNA from 1 species
UACGUAGGUGGCAAGCGUUGUCCGGAAUUAUUGGGCGUAAAGCGCGCGCAGGCGGUCCUUUAAGUCCUGCGUGAAAUCUUGCGGCUCAACCGCAAGCGGUCGUGGGAAACUGGGUGGCUAGAGUGCGGGAGAGGAGAGUGGAAUUCCGUGGUGUAGCGGUGAAAUGCGCAGAUAUCGGAAGGAACACCAGUGGCGAAGGCGGCUACCUGGCAUGAUACUGACACUGAGGCGCGGAGAGCGUGGGAGCAACAGG